UGAGCAAAAACACUUGAUAGUGCUCAGUCCUUUGAGUUCAAGCCUCAAUAUAAGCAUCCUAAAUAGAUACUAUAUUUUAAAGGUUAGUUACACAUUCUUCAUAUCCUAUAGUUACCCUGCCCCAAUUUAUUCUUUCUGUCUGAAUCUACUUUAACUAGGUACCAGAUUAUAAAUGGGAAGAAAAAAGUAGGUCAGCAGUGCUUUUGUUAUACAAGCAUCAGAACAGCCUUGGAAAGGUAGAACUCAACCAUUGUCUAGAACUUGGUUAUUCACAAUAAAAUUUUACUUACACAGUCUUCUCAUUUAUUUCUAGGGAUGUAGUUGAAGUAAAUUGAAUAAUUGCACAAAGGAAAAUGGAAUUUAGAUGUGUCUCCCAGCUUAUAUAGAUAUACCUAUAUGUUACACCCUUUAGGGUUCCUGUUUUUUGUGAGGAGUGAAAUUUCAAACCCAGGAUAUACCCUACUCCAAAUAUAUUCCCUAUCAUUGUCUUCACCAUCUUGUCUCUGGCCUAAUUUGCCCUUAAGAUCAAGAGACUUCUGUUAUAUAGAGAAUGUGUUUCUUGAAUCAUAACAUCCAACCUUUUUUAGGGAGCAAAUAGAGUACAUUCCAAAACAAUGAAGAUCAAGACAGAACUUAAGUUUUCAGAAUUAACUGCUAAAGGAUUAAAAUACCUGUAUGUCAUUUUUUUGGAGCAGAAGAUGUACUUUCCACAUCACUACAAACAUUUCAGGGGAGGAGGUGGAAGGACAUAUGAAAGAGGCCAGAAAAUUAAAAUAUGUUGAUGUUUAUGUAUCCAUUUUGUCUGUGUGUAUAUAAAAGUGCCUUGCUCAUGAAUACAUUUUUGCUAUUGACUCAGAAAGGAAGCCUUUCCCCAGCUUGGCAGCUGAAUAAACCAGUAGCUUUAAAUAUGUUGAA